rnacentral:tRNA from 1 species
GGCCUGGUAGCCAAGUGGUAAGGCAGAGGACUGCAAAUCCUUUAUCGGCGGUUCGAUCCCGCCCCAGGCCU